CUGAGAAGACCAUUUACAGUGUGAGUGAGACCAUAGUUAUAAAUUGUACAACCUCUACACCGUCAGCUCUAAAUGUUCAAUGGUAUUUUAACCAAGAAUAUCUAGACUCAAACCAAGUCAUAUCUAUAACAGCUGAUAUAUCACAGAUUUCUAUCACAAAUGUUGCAUUUGAUGAUGCUGGCAAUUACUCAUGUGGUUUGUUAGGAGACGUCCCAUCUGAUUGGCAGACGAUUGAACUACAGGUUGGAGUUGCGCCAACACAUGUUGCCAAUUUCACUUGUUAUACCUUCAACAUAGAUGAUAUAUUUUGUUCCUGGGAUGAAGGAAGUAAAACAAACAUUCCAACCAGUUACACUUUCUACUAUACAGCAUAUUACAGAAACGAUUAUGUACCAGACCAUAAGAGUUAUAAUUGGACAGAGUGUCCGGAUAGUGAAAAGUUUCCUGACUGUCCAGAUGAAAUCCAUGAUUACACUUACUCCUGUUAUCUGCUGUUUGAAUAUGAUCACCUAGGAUCUCGACACAACGUGUCAGUGGUAGCACGUAAUGACUUGGGUACAGUCACCUCAGCAUUGGAGUUUAACCCUGACCUUGAAG